UCCGUCGGUUGCAAGCGUUAAUCGGAAUUACUGGGCGUAAAGCGUGCGCAGGCGGUUAUAUAAGACAGAUGUGAAAUCCCCGGGCUCAACCUGGGAACUGCAUUUGUGACUGUAUAGCUAGAGUACGGCAGAGGGGGAUGGAAUUCCGCGUGUAGCAGUGAAAUGCGUAGAUAUGCGGAGGAACACCGAUGGCGAAGGCAAUCCCCUGGGCCUGUACUGACGCGCAUGCAAGAAAGCGGGGGGAGCAAACAGGAGGCGAUAACCCCGUAGUCC
rnacentral:rRNA from 1 species